rnacentral:rRNA from 1 species
UACGUAGGGUGCAAGCGUUAAUCGGAAUUACUGGGCGUAAAGCGUGCGCAGGCGGUUGUGUAAGUCAGAUGUGAAAUCCCCGGGCUUAACCUGGGAACUGCAUUUGUGACUGCACGGCUAGAGUGUGUCAGAGGGGGGUAGAAUUCCACGUGUAGCAGUGAAAUGCGUAGAUAUGUGGAGGAAUACCGAUGGCGAAGGCAGCCCCCUGGGAUAACACUGACGCUCAUGCACGAAAGCGUGGGGAGCAAACAGG